GACGAACGCUGGCGGCGUGCUUAACACAUGCAAGUCGAACGGAAAGGCCCUGCUUUUGUGGGGUGCUCGAGUGGCGAACGGGUGAGUAACACGUGAGUAACCUGCCCUUGACUUUGGGAUAACUUCAGGAAACUGGGGCUAAUACCGGAUAGGAGCUCCUGCUGCAUGGUGGGGGUUGGAAAGUUUCGGCGGUUGGGGAUGGACUCGCGGCUUAUCAGCUUGUUGGUGGGGUAGUGGCUUACCAAGGCUUUGACGGGUAGCCGGCCUGAGAGGGUGACCGGCCACAUUGGGACUGAGAUACGGCCCAGACUCCUACGGGAGGCAGCAGUGGGGAAUAUUGCACAAUGGGCGGAAGCCUGAUGCAGCAACGCCGCGUGCGGGAUGACGGCCUUCGGGUUGUAAACCGCUUUCGCCUGUGACGAAGCGUGAGUAACGGUAAUGGGUAAAGAAGCACCGACUAACUACGUG
rnacentral:rRNA from 1 species